rnacentral:lncRNA from 1 species
UCUGAAACAGGUGGUCCCUUCUCCCCAUCUUGAUUCAACAGUGGUGGGGAUGUACAACUAUUAAGAGGAUCCUGUCCAGAAUUCUGAUGUGUAUGAUGAUCAACAAGUGGUCCUUUCUCCCCAUCUUGAUUCAACAACGGUGGACAUGUAAUACUGUUAUGAGGAUCCUGUCCAUAAUUCUGCUGUGUAUGAUGAUCUGAAACAAAUGAUCCUUUCUCCCCAUCUUGAUUUGACAACGGUGGACAUGCAUAACUGUUAUUACUCCCUGCACUUUCCAUAUUAUUCAAUUUUCUCCUCUGAACAUGUGAUUUGCUAGCUGGAUCAGAUGCAGAUGCUGCAUGUUUGUAACUCUUUCGUUUUUUACCAUGAUCUUCUUGUACAACAUGCAC